ensembl:lncRNA
GUCUUGAGUGCUCCCAGUGACCAGCAGUGCAUGGGGUGGGGUGGGGCGGUCCCAGGAUUCAGAGUGCCGGGUGGUCUGCUAGCCCACUGCUAGCACGGGCUAUGGAUCCCCCUCAGGGGAGAGCUCAUCCUGAGGGAGGGAAGGGUAGAGGCAGGGCUUGGAGUGGCUGUCUGCAGGGGAGGUGGGCUUUGAGUACUUCUGGGGAAUCCCAGGAGGAAGGUCAACAGACACAAGGGAUGCGGUGAUUUCCCCAAGUGCUCUCUCAGCCUGGGAGGAGAGGCCUGCACGCAUCUGAGGCCCACGUGGCGAGGUCUUCUUGGAGAAGCCUUGGCAGCCACCCGCAGGUGCCCAGGGGACCGUUCUUGGGCUUUGGGGAGUGCUAGACAGAGGAUGCCUUCACAAGGGCUGGGAGAGAGACACUCUUGGGUGGGACAGGCACUUCAGGGCUGUCUUGGUAGGCCUGGAGACAGACCCAGGGACUCCCAGCAUUAGUUUCCUUGAAGCAGGCAUCUCGUGAGAGCAGCUGGAGGCAGAGAGGGUAGCACGGCUUGUCCUGUGACCCUGACACUACUUGGUGUGAGGCUCCUGUGCCUGGAAAGCGGGACUCACCAGGAUAAAGCCUGAGCUCCUCAGCAUGGUGCCCGAGGCUUGAUUGGGCCCCUGCCUUUCCCUCCCUCGAGCCGUCCUUAUCUGACCACUUACAGUCCCUGGCCUCUGCCUGAAUUUUCUCCUUCCCUGCCCUUCCUGCCUGGCGAUCACUUACACCAAUUCACCUGUUUUCGCUGGGCCCAGCAGAGUGCUUGGUAAAUGGCCAAAAAUGUGUAUGAAAAAAUGAACGAGUGGAAAGAGUAGGGGACUCACCUGGGACCCCCCAGUAUUCAAACCGUGACCCGUUUGGAGACCCAAGUCUCCAGCAUCAGUUGCGUGUGGUACUCAUGCCCUUCUCCUGAGUUUCUGCAAUCGCUGCUGGAGGGAUGGUGGCCACAAACACACAGCCCCAGGACGCCUGUGUCCAGCCAGCACUCACCUUGCCUGGGGCAGGCAGGCAGAAGGCAACCGGUACCCUCUCUCAGCCAGGGACCCUCUGCCGGUCACAGAGAUCUCAGCUCUGCCACUGGGCUGGGCCUCGCUGGUCACUCCUGGUUCUGUUUCCUGAGGAAUGAAAAUCCGACAAAGCCCAGAAAGCAUCACCAGCCAGUGUGAUGCCAGCCUCCUGCGGAGAGGCCACCAGCUGUGCUGUGCUGCACGUGGGAUCCUAGUUCCCCAACCUGGGAUGGAACCUGUGCCCCUGCAGUGGAAGUGUGUGUGUUACUUGCUCGGGCAGCUGGCACUCAUGGAGACUCCCUCUGGCAUUCAUUUCACAGUUUAGGCACUGGGUUGGCACAGCUGGUCAAAACAUUGCAAGAUCACCCUCGACUUUGGUCAGAGAGCUUGUGUGCGGCCACCACUCCUCUCCCUGAACUCUGGCAGACCUGAGGGCAAAAUGCUUUGGAGAGAGCACCCAACUCAGUGGAAACAGAUUUUGUGAUGCUCAGACUGACACAGAGGGUGGUGAUAAAACACAAACAAGUGUGGGGUAAAAAUCUAGAAGAAAGAACCCUACCCAGAGGGGUUAUUAUCAGGGCUGCUCUCACCUUGCACUCUUCGGGAAACCUCCUGGCAUUUCUAUGCCUUUUGCCCCGAUUCACAGACUCUUUCUGUCCUUCUCAUCAAGUGGUUCUGUGGGAGCAUCAUGGGUUUGGAGACAGACUGCCCUGGGUUCCCCUCCAGCUGUACCAAUAACAGAAGUUGGAGACCAAUAU